UGCAUCGGCCGGGAAUUGAACCCGGGUCGCCCGCGUGGAAGGCGAGCAUUUUACCACUGAACUACCAAUGC
rnacentral:tRNA from 1 species